rnacentral:rRNA from 1 species
GACAGAGGUCCCGAGCGUUAGGCGGAAUCACUGGGCUUAAAGCGUGUGUAGGCGGAUUUGUAAGUACCUUGUGAAAUCCCACGGCUCAACCGUGGAACUGCUUGGUAUACUGCUUAUCUUGGGCCACUUAGGGGUUACCGGAACAAACGGUGGAGCGGUGAAAUGCGUAGAUAUCGUUUGGAACGCCAAUGGUGAAAACAGGUAGCUGGGGCUGUGCUGACACUGAGACACGAAAGCCAGGGGAGCGAACGGG